UACGGAGGAUGCGAGCGUUAUCCGGAUUUAUUGGGUUUAAAGGGUGCGCAGGCGGCACGGCAAGCCGGCGGUCAGAUCGCAGGGCUCAACCCCGCCCAGCCGUCGGAACUGCCGGGCUAGAGUGGGCGAGAAGUGCGCGGAAUGCGUGGUGUAGCGGUGAAAUGCAUAGAUAUCACGCAGAACUCCGAUUGCGAAGGCAGCGCACCGGCGCCCUACUGACGCUCAGGCACGAAAGCGUGGGUAUCGAACAGG
rnacentral:rRNA from 1 species